rnacentral:lncRNA from 1 species
UGGCAUAAAAUUUUUUAAUCAUUAAGUUCAUAAACGUUGCAAACUAAUAAAUGGAGAUUAUGUCCUGUUUUUAAAAUAACAAACCAUAAUCAUCUUCUAUUUAGAAGUGUUAUCUGAAAGGGUAUUUUUUGAAAUGUAACCUUUUAAAGAAGGUACUUGAUAUUUCUCUCAGCUAAAUGAAAUAUUCCCUUAGAUAGUUGAACUGUUGAAGAUAUCUUUAAUACCAGUGAUGGUUGUUCACAUAUAAAAGUGUGUGUGAUUAAAACUGAAAGGGGAACACUGCUUGGAAAAUCACACCCAGUUUUCUCAUCCUUGGAUUAUGGACCUAAGUGAAUCACCCAUUACCCUGGAUCCUUGAGUAUCAGCUAAGACACAGGAAUUCAGGGCCGGGAGUGGUGGCUCAUGCCUGUAAUGCCAGCACUUUGGGAGGCUGAGGCGGGUGGACCGCUUGAGUCCGAGAGUUUGAGACCAUCCUGGGCAACAUGGUGAAACCUGGUCUCUACAAAAGAAAUACAAAAAUUAGCAGGGCAAGGUGGCAUGCACCUGUGGUUCCAGCUACUUGAGAGGCUGAGGCAGGAGGGUCCCUUGAGCCUGGGAGGUGGAGGUUGAGGUGAGCUGUGGCAAAAGCUACAGAAACUUUAAAGAGGAUUGUUUAUAAAUGGAAAAUGAUUCAUUUAUCAAAAAACUAGGGUUCCUUAGUCUGACAGGUGAAAGUUUUCAAAACAGUUCGUUCUUAAAAGCAUAAAAAACUGAGUUCAAUUAUGCAGAGCUUAAAACAAGCAACUUCACUGAUAGAGAAUACUCGUACUUAGUGUUUGUUUUUACUUAGAGUGUCAUAAUUUUCCCCUAAAAUUAUAGCAUAUUCAUUCAAUAUGUGGCUUGUAUCUACACAGUUAAGUUUCUCUUUCAGUGAUUAGAAUUUUAGCCAUUAACCUAUGCAGUCGCCUGUAUCCACCUGGAGGCAGUUCCUCCAGUUGCAGGAUUGUGCUUAUUUAAACUGAUUGUCAAACUGUGGGUCAUGAAGUCAAUUGAGUGAGAAUUGACCAGCUUUUUCAUAAUGAAAUAGAAUUAAAAACACCACCAUGGGCCGGGCGCGGUGGCUCAUGCCUGUAAUCCCAGCACUUUGGGAGGCCAAGGCAGGUGGAUCACCUGAGAUGAGGAGUUCAAGACCAGCCUGGCCAACGUGGCGAAACCCCGUCUCUACUAAAAAAUACAAAAUUUAGCCAGGCAUGGUGGCGGGCUCUGGAGCCUGGGCAACAGAGCAAGACUCUGUUUCAAAAAAAAUAAAAAAUAAAAAAAUACCACAAUGCAUUCGAGGUAACAAAGGUAAGUAUUGUUUCAUGGAACCUUCAGUUUCAUUUAAAAUGUGUAUGCACAUAUGCAUGUGUGUAUAACAUAUAUGUCAUAUAUGUGUGUAUGUAAAGAAAUUGAUAAAUGUGUGUAGAGUCAAUAUAAAAUAUACUUAUUGUAGGUCAUAGUAAAAAAAUAAAUUUGAAAGUCACUGGCUUAGAAGAACUUAACACCAGGCCAGGCACGGUGGCUCACACCCAUAAUUCCAGCCCUUUGAGAGGCCAAUGCGGGUGGAUCACUUGAGGUCAGGAGUUCGAGACCAGCCUGGGCAACAUGGCAAAACCCCAUCUCUACUAAAAAUACAAAAAUUAGCUGGGCGAGGUGGUGCGCACCUUUAAUCUGAGCCACUCAGGAGGCUGCUGCUCGAGUUUUGCUUGAACCUAGGAAGCAGAGGUUGCAAGUGAGCCGAGAUCGCGCCACUGCACUCCAGCCUGGGUGACAGAGCAAGACUCUUGUCUCCAAAACAAAAAAAAAAAAAACAGGACAUCAAAAGGGUUAGUAAGGGAUCAUCCAGUGUUAACUAUCACAGCUAAUCUAGUUUAAUAAAUGAAGAAACUGACAUCUAUACUAAACAAGUGACUUGAUUACUGUCACACAGCUAGGUAGUAACAGCACUGAGACUAGGACACAAGCUUCUUGGCUCAACCUGGUACAGUUUCCCUACUCCAGUCCCAAUUACAUGAAACCAGCUAUAUUCCACCAUCACCUCUGGCACAUUGAAGUCCUCAAAUAAUGCAGCCAUUUUAAAAUUAGCAUAAACUUGUCUAGGGGUAAAUGGUGUGUGAAAUCAACUAUGUUGCAGGAAAUUAAAAGCUAUACGUUGAACUUUCCCCCUCUCCUUCAACCCUCCAGAAUGUAAUUUUUUUCCCCUUUCCUUUUAGACGUGGAUAGUUAUAUCCCUGGCUUUUGACUGAAAAUUUUCUUGCCCUUUCUGGACUUCGGAAUAUAUACCCAAAUUAAAAGGUUUUAGUGUGACAAGAAAAAAGUCACUUUGAAAUCCAGGAACUUAUUAGCAUAAAUUACAUUCCAGCUGAAUCAGCUGCUAGAAGCUCAAUUUGAAAAAUGUUGCACUAGUUUAUAUAUUUCUUACCCCUCUUAAGUAGACAUCAAAACACAAUCAUAUUUCUGUAUUUUAGAGAAAGAAAUAUGUCCCAGCUCCACUGGAAUUAGACUUUACCUCCCAGAAACGGACCCCACCUACCACUGGUAUUCAUGAUUCUUCUAUUUGGUUCAGCCACUUUUUAAAAAAUAUUGAAUGUCAGGCGGGUGCAGUGGCUCACACCUG